rnacentral:rRNA from 1 species
GAUGAACGCUAGCUCCAGGCUUAACACAUGCAAGUCGAGGGGAAACGACAUCGAAAGCUUGCUUUUGAUGGGCGUCGACCGGCGCACGGGUGAGUAACGCGUAUCCAACCUGCCCACCACUUGGGGAUAACCUUGCGAAAGUAAGACUAAUACCCAAUGAUAUCUCUAGAAGACAUCUGAAAGAGAUUAAAGAUUUAUCGGUGAUGGAUGGGGAUGCGUCUGAUUAGCUUGUUGGCGGGGUAACGGCCCACCAAGGCAACGAUCAGUAGGGGUUCUGAGAGUAAGGUCCCCCACAUUGGAACUGAGACACGGUCCAAACUCCUACGGGAGGCAGCAGUGAGGAAUAUUGGGCAAUGGACGAGAGUCUGAACCAGCCAAGUAGCGUGCAGGAAGACGGCCCUAUGGGUUGUAAACUGCUUUUAUAAGGGAAUAAAGUGAGUCUCGGGAGACUUUUUGCAUGUACCUUAUGAAUAAGGACCGGCUAAUUCCGUG